GUUCUGUAUAUGUACGGAGGCUUCGUAUGUCUUCUUACUUAUAACCCUGAUUGGAGGCACUAGCGGAGCCAACCAUGGAAGCGCUGCCCUACAUACUUCUCAUCCGCGCGAGGAGCCUGUUUCCCAGCAGUGGCAGAGCCAACCAUGGAAACACUUCCCUACAAUCUUCUGUUCCGUUCGAUUGUACAUGCAGAUGCAGGUGCAGCCUUCUCCGCCUUGAUUUAUUCUGGCCAGCUUUCCAUCCUAAUCUCUAACAUGUGUCCCGUCUUUAUUUUUUUUCUCCCACAAGAUUUGGUUUGAUGUUGAGAUUUGGCUAUUUUGCUGAUUGUAUCCUCUAUAUUUUCUUCCAGUAUCUCCGUUGGAUGCUCAACUCCCAUAGUUUAAGGAAAUGAAACAUCUAUUAAAUCGUGAUAUCGAUGAUCAAUUUCGAUCUUGUAGUAGAUCUAACAGAAAAAAUCGUAGGGUACCAUAUGGGCUUACAAUCUAGGACCUAUGGAUUAUUAAAUCGCUGUGAGUUCAGAUACAUAUAAGGGCAAAUUUGAUUGCUCUUUUUCUGUUGUGGCAUGGUUGCCUAAAUAUUUCUAGAUAAAUUGCAUAGCUGCUGCGAGAAGGCACAACCCCGAAGUCACCCAGUAGCGGCGCUCCUCUUUGUCAGAGUGCAGCACCGGUGUACUUCGCCACCGUCUCCAGCCAGUCGGCGGCCAUUUCUCUUGAAGUUCGCUCGCGCCUCACCGUUAUUUUACCCAGCGUCCUCCGGUGUGUACCACCAACCUGCGGUGCGGCGCACGGACCCGCUGCUACUGAGGCAUGUCCGCCGCUGCUGAGGUGACAUAUAUAGCAGCAAGCACGAUUGCGCGGAGGUUGGCUUGCAGGAGGAGUGGCCCGGCAAGAUUGGUUCAACAUGUCAUGGCAAUGCACGGCCGCCUACAUUUCUGUCCAGCAGAUACUGGUUCGAGUUCUCCACAGUUUUUUUGCCCCGCCAUUCUUAAAGAGUGGUUAUGGAACAUUCUUUUCCGUCUCAGCCAUGGUAGAAUGAACAGGAGCAUUCAACGCAUCAUGGCUCUGAUCAACUCCAAACAUGUUAGGUGCUCAGAUUUGUGAUUUUGGUGCCUAAUAAGUGUCUGUUGUUAUGCCAGAACUGCAUCUGGGUCU